CAGUCGCCACGGUAAUACAGAGGGUGCAAGCGUUAAUCGGAAUUACUGGGCGUAAAGCGCGCGUAGGUGGUUUGUUAAGUUGGAUGUGAAAUCCCCGGGCUCAACCUGGGAACUGCAUCCAGAACUGGCAGGCUAGAGUAGGGCAGAGGGUGGUGGAAUUUCCUGUGUAGCGGUGAAAUGCGUAGAUAUAGGAAGGAACACCAGUGGCGAAGGCGACCACCUGGGCUCAUACUGACACUGAGGUGCGAAAGCGUGGGGAGCAAACAGGAUUAGAUACCCGGGUAGUCCCUGUCUCUUAUAC
rnacentral:rRNA from 1 species